ensembl:snRNA U2 U2 spliceosomal RNA
GUCGCUUCUCGGCCUUUGGCUAAGAUCAAGUGUAGUAUCUGUUCUUAUCAGUUUAAUAUCUGGUACGCCUCCCAUCCGGGGACUUCAUAUUAAAUGGAUUUCUAGAUCACGGAGCUGAAUCACGUCUCAGCUCCUGAAGCUGUGAUUCACAAUAUUGAUCCUGGUGUGUUCAGAGACUCACU